UACGGGGGGGCAAGCGUUGUUCGGAAUUACUGGGCGUAAAGGGCUCGUAGGUGGCCAACUAAGUCAGACGUGAAAUCCCUCGGCUUAACCGGGGAACUGCGUCUGAUACUGGAUGGCUAGAGAUUGGGAGAGGGAUGCGGAAUUCCAGGUGUAGCGGUGAAAUUCGUAGAUAUUCGGAAGAACACCAGUGGUGAAGGCGACUUACUGGACACAUAUUGACGCUGAGGUGCGAAAGCGUGGGGAGCAAACAGG
rnacentral:rRNA from 1 species